GGGAUGGCGAUGGUCGUUGAUGUAGAUGCCAAAGGAGAGUUAGGGUUUCCGUACUGGACUCCAGUUCGUCGACGUUUUAGCCCCGAUUCUCCCUUCUUUUCUUGNNNNNNNNNNUUGAGAGGGAGCUUCUCGCCAAACAGGUUGCAUUGGAUUUAACAGAAGAUGAAAAGAAUCAGUUACAGAAUUUGGUGGAUGAGGAUGGCAGGGAUAUUUUUUGUCCCAUUGUUGGAUGUGGUGCACGCUUGACAUUUUUGGAAGACUUUGAAGACCAUUACAAUGCACGGCACGCUGCAUCCUGUUCGGUGUGCUCUAGAGUUUACCC
rnacentral:misc_RNA from 1 species